GACGAACGCUGGCGGCGUGCUUAACACAUGCAAGUCGAACGGAAAGGCCCCUUUGGGGGUACUCGAGUGGCGAACGGGUGAGUAACACGUGCGUAACCUGCCCUUGACUUCGGGAUAACUUCAGGAAACUGGGGCUAAUACCGGAUAGGAAUCCUUGCUGCAUGGUGGGGGUUGGAAAGCUUCGGCGGUUUUGGAUGGACUCGCGGCUUAUCAGCUUGUUGGUGGGGUAGUGGCUUACCAAGGCUUUGACGGGUAGCCGGCCUGAGAGGGCGACCGGCCACAUUGGGACUGAGAGACGGCCCAGACUCCGACGGGAGGCAGCAGUGGGGAAUAUUGCACAAUGGGCGGAAGCCUGAUGCAGCAACGCCGCGUGCGGGAUGACGGCCUUCGGGUUGUAAACCGCUUUCAGCAGGGGCGAAGCUUGUGGUGACGGUACCUGCAGAAGAAGCACCGGCUAACUACGUG
rnacentral:rRNA from 1 species